rnacentral:misc_RNA from 1 species
CAAUUUUGCUUGCCUGCUUUGGGACUAUACCUCAUCAAAUACUUCCAGGCUCGAAGCAGAAGAUUAUAUCGCAAGUGUUCCACACUCAUUUGAAGCAAGACAAGGAAGAAUGAAGCACAUAUUAGCGACCAUCUGUGUCAUGAGCCUCGUCGCAUUUGCUGCCAAUGCAGAAAGACAGCCAGAAGAUGAUUCCCUCCUUGACGAAACGUUCAAAGAUGUGGAACGAGAUGCUGCUCACAUUGGUGAAAUUCAUCGAGAGGUGGUACAGACCCUAACCGAGAGUGAGAAACUGGAGGCUCGGGUGAGAAGAAAUACCAGAGUAAAAUAAAAAAAGGCACGCCACGAGCGCAGUAGGCCUUGCACAAGAAAAGCAUUAUGUUCAACGAUGCGAAACUUGUAAUAAGCAGCUCACCUCUCAAUGGGUUUGCUACUAUUGGUGUUGCUGAGUAAAGCUUUUCAAUAAAUAGUGUAAACUUACGUAGAAGGC